AAGAAACCUAUUUCUUUAUUUCCGUUCCAUUUGCUUCGCUCGUCAGAGGAAAUUCGAGAGUUUUCCCGACUUCGAACGAGGUAGUCUCACGCAAAUCAUUUACUUUUAGUUUUAAUCUACAAAAGGAAGGAUAUUGGCUCAAAGGGUUUGGGAAGAGUGGAUUUGGGUAGCUCUAUUUCUAUUCACGCUUCUUAUAAGUACAUUCAGUUUUAAAAAUAAAAUUUUAGUAUAUUUUAAAUCCUAUAUAACUUUACUUAAAUAGACAUAAACAGAAUUAAAUAAAAAUAUAUAACUCUAAAUUGAUCCACAAAUUUUUAUUUUUAUUAACUUAUUCUAAAUUUUUUUUUAUUCUUUUAGAAUUUAUGUUUAAUUAGAAUUUACAUGAAUAUAAUUAUAGGUGCCUUUGAUAAAUUGAGUUUUAUGAAUAAGAAUGAUAAAAUUUCUAAUAAACAUUAUUAACAUGAUUAGCUGAAUAAUAUAUGUUCAUUUAAUGUUCAAUAAGUUCAACUUUGUUAUUAUUUCAUUCAUUUGGUUUAGAAGAGUUUAUAGUUUUAAGGAUUGUGUGAAUUUAUAAUGUUAGGGAUGUAUUUAAAAUGUGAUGAAUAUAUAGAAGUUACGUGGAUAUAUAAUAUUUAAAUGAAUGGAUUUAAUAAGGACAAGUUUGAAAAUAAUGUGGAUGUAAAUAGUAUUUUUUAAAAAUUUUAAAAUUUUAUUAGGGAUAAUUUAGCGGGGGGAUUUACUUGGAAAAAUCGUUGAUGGAAAUAACUGUACCCAUGGAUUUUCCUCUGAGACAACAAGGGUUCUCCAAAUCGAUUCUUUUUCCUACAUGAUUUCUGAUUUUUUGUUGAGUAUUUCUUUGUUGUUGCAUUUUUUGAGGUAUUUACUUUAGGAUUUGUUUGUUUCUUCUGUUACUUUAUUUUUAUGUAAGAAGAUCUAAGUUUUGAAUCGAAGGUUUGGGGAAGAAGGGAUUUUCUGCGAGAAAGCAAACGGGUUAGCAAGUGUACUCCACAUCAGUUAUUUUUCUACAUGAUUUUUGAUUUUGUUGGAUAUUUUUCUUCGUUGUUGCAGUUCUUGAGGUACUUUGUUCAAGAUUUAAUUUUCUCACAAUUUUCAUAAUUUCUCUUUUCGUUGUCUAUACAGAAUCAUUUGACGGGAUUGAUAUUAUAUUUGUAGAUAUUAUGUUCUCACUAAACGUGUUUGUCGACGUAUUCUUAUCCAAAAUGAGAGUUGAUCAUUUAUUUUUUUCUGAUUUGUAAAAAAAUGUUAUUUAUAAUGUUUUGGAAAAAAAAUAUAAGGUGCUAAAAAAUUGCUGCUAUUGAAUAGUUUCUUUGUUCUAGAAGUUUUAAACCUCAGUUUAUGAUGUAUUUGCCCAAAACAGAAAGAAAAAAGAUGGCACAUGAAACCUAUAACUUCACCACGAGCCAGACCCAUUUGUGUUUCAUCUUAACCUUCAAAACGAGCUUAGGAAAUGCCAUUUAAGCUUCAGCCUUUUUGAUUAAUUUUCUCCUUUAAACUCUCUUAGCAUUUGAGCAAAAAAUUCUUUGUUGCUCUUAUAGAACCUAGAGUUGAAACAGAGAUCGAGGUUACUAUUUCAAGGGUCGGUCCUUGUUAUGAAAGACCUCAAGUCUAGCUACAUUUGGAUUCCUCUUCGACAGAAUUGGUAAGUACUCUAUAUUAAUGCAUAUAUGAAACUUUAUCACAUACUCUGCAAGCGACGUGUGGAAUGCCACAUUCAUGUGUACCCUAGAUUCAUAGUUAUUUGGGAGAAACUUUUACACGUCCUAAAGAACAUGCUCUAAACUUUUGUUUUGGAUAUUUAUAUUAUUGUAGAAUAAAGGCCAGACUACUGAAGAUACUGUGUUAUGACUAUGAGGUUCUCUUUUCUUUCUUCCUAUACCUCAUCUUUCUGUUACAAGAGGGGAAGAGGAUGCUGAUUUUCUUUUAUAAAAACUUGUAAUUUUUGACUUUGACUUGGAUAGUUACAUAUUUAUGUGUAUGAAGAUAUCUGGUCUGCACUAGAACAAAGCAUUUGAUAUUUUUUGUUUUACAUUUAGUACACUAUGAGUGCAAAUCAUUGUCUAAUUUUUCUGAAUAUCAAGACAAACACCUCAGAUGUGCUGGAUACUGUGCAACGAUGUCUAACCUCAUAAUUGCCUAUUUGGAAGUUCAUACGCAUGCUGCAAUUCAUUUGAUAUCAUUAAUACAUAUAUUCAUGAUCUUAUGAUGUAUGAAUGUGGAAUGAAUGAUCGCUUGAUAAUUGUUUUUACAUGCAUGUCUCUCUAUAGCUGUCAUUUAUUUUAGUUUGAUUGUGUUUUGUUGUCUUUUGACUAGGGGAUUUUGAAAGUCAUUGUGAACAAGCUAUUGAGUUAAAGUCUUAGUAAUUGCUUGCUCUUAAUUCUUUCCUUUAAUUUAGUUUGUUUACUAUACUUUCAUUUUCAAUAUUACAGCACUAAAUGUUAAAGCUACAUUAUUAUAAGGACAAUGUAGUUACCUCAGAAAGUAUGCUAGAGAUUCUAUGCAAUAGAAUUUUGCCUUGUAACUUAAGUCAGUGCCUAAAAAUUAAAGGUAAAACAUGUACUCUUUUCUCUUAACAAGUAAGAAAGUCAAACUAUAGAUCAAUCAUGUAACUAAACAAACUUGCCUCUAAAUAAAUGUGUAUAUGUGGAGUGUUAGAAGGGUGUACAAGCCUAUAAUAAAGAGUGGUUUACAUGUUUGCAUUGCUAAUUUACUAAUGCCUUUGAACUUUAUUCAAGUUUUUGAGUUAACAUUUGAGAUUUCAAUGUGGUGCAUUUGUGUUAACAUUUACAUGAGGUAUAAGUGUUAGAAGGGUUGUAUUGAUGCUACCAUUAUAGGAGAACCUGCUGAGAAGUUCUUACAAUGCUCUGCGCUUAUACUUAUGAAACAACUCUGAUACCUACCUCAAACAUAUUUUUAAAUUAUUAUGCUAUCAUAUAUUCAUUUACAUUGCUAAUUCUAGUAUUCCUAUUUCUGCAUGACAAAAACAAACCUCUCAGAAUGAAUCCAUACCUCAACAAAUGAAGAUCUAUUCUUCUAUGUAAAAGCUGUAAAAUAAAAAAAUGGAUAUGAAUACAAGUACGAAGUCAGCUCACUGUAGAUACAUCUUCAACAACAUGAAAGUUCACAUGUAAGCAUUGAUGGAAGCACAUUUCUAACUCCAUUUGUUGAAUCACUACACUUGAUGCAACAUGAUUCUAAUGAAUCAUCAGCUCGAAGGGUAAUAUUCUCAACUUCUAGUUCUUCACAUUCCCAAAACAAAGAAGAUGAAAGAAAAAUAGUGGUUAAGGCAAAGGCAUUGCAGUGAAUGAAUCAAUUGAUGAGAAUUUUGAAUGAUGCAGAAUGUUAAGCAUUGGAGAAGUUAUGCAAGUUAGAAAUGGUUUUUGUUUCUUCGUCUCUUUCCAGUUAGAACUGCAAGAUGUAGCAACAAAUAGAUCCUAGAAUUUGCAUAUGAAAUUUAAAAUAUCACUUGUAUUUCAAGCUACUCAUGAAGUAGUUAUUCAGCUAAACAUUGUAGUUUGGGUCUAUAACUGUUCUACAUUCAGACUUUGAUAUUCUGGUUAGUUAAAUGAAAUUGUGUGAUGGUUUUUGGAUCGUUAUUAUCUUUUUGGUUGAUGUUUGUGUACGCCUGUCUCCAUUGUGUAGAUUGUACAGCUUCUCAUUGAUAAGAAUAGGAGACUUGAAAAAUAGCUUCUUACGUUUACUCUAAGCCUAUGUUUGUUUCCCA
rnacentral:lncRNA from 1 species